CCUACGGGCGGCAGCAGUCGAGAAUCAUUCACAAUGGGGGAAACCCUGAUGGUGCGACGCCGCGUGGGGGAAUGAAGGUCUUCGGAUUGUAAACCCCUGUCAUGUGGGAGCAAAUUAAAAAGAUAGUACCACAAGAGGAAGAGACGGCUAACUCUGUGCAAGCAGCCGCGGUAAUACAGAGGUCUCAAGCGUUGUUCGGAAUCACUGGGCGUAAAGCGUGCGUAGGCUGUUUCGUAAGUCGUGUGUGAAAGGUGCGGGCUCAACCCGCGGACGGCAUAUGAAACUGCGAGACUAGAGUAAUGGAGGGGGAACCGGAAUUCUCGGUGUAGCAGUGAAAUGCGUAGAUAUCGAGAGGAACACUCGUGGCGAAGGCGGGUUCCUGGACAUUAACUGACGCUGAGGCACGAAGGCCAGGGGAGCGAAAGGGAUUAGAUACCCUGGUAGUC
rnacentral:rRNA from 1 species